GCCAGGCAUGCUGGAGCAUGCCUGUAAUCCCAGCAGCUUGGGAGGCUGAGGUAGGAGGACUGAGUUCAAAGCCAGCCUUAGCAACUUAGUGAGGCACUUAGCAACUCAGUGAGAUUCUGUCUCUA
rnacentral:sRNA from 1 species